rnacentral:rRNA from 1 species
GACGAACGCUGGCGGCGUGCCUAAUACAUGCAAGUCGAACGAGAUGCGACCGGUGCUUGCACUGGUCAAUCUAGUGGCGAACGGGUGAGUAACACGUGGGUAACCUGCCCAUCAGAGGGGGAUAACAUUCGGAAACGGAUGCUAAAACCGCAUAGGUCUUCGAACCGCAUGGUUUGAAGAGGAAAAGAGGCGCAAGCUUCUGUCUGAUGGAUGGACCCGCGGUGCAUUAGCUAGUUGGUGAGGUAACGGCUCACCAAGGCCGUGAUGCAUAGCCGACCUGAGAGGGUGAUCGGCCACAUUGGGACUGAGACACGGCCCAAACUCCUACGGGAGGCAGCAGCUAGGGAA